CUUCCAUUCCUGGCAGAUUGGUAGACUCUAUAACACAGAGUAAAAUGAGCAGUCACGUGGAUAAAUAUGAUACGCUGUGCAAGAGUCAGCUUGGUAUUUGUAAAGGGAAAUCCUGCCUCACCAAUCUGUUGGAGUUCUUUGAAGGCGUUGAAGAAUAUGCGGACAAGAGAGAUCCAGUUGAUGUAAUAUACAUAGAUGAAGGGGAAAAAAAUUAUUUUGAGAGGGCUGAGCAUGUGCUUCACCAUCCUGCCCAGCAGUGAAUAUAGUGACGAGGGAAAUGAGGUAACCAAACCUGUGACCAUCGCUGAAAUGAGGCCCCUUGCUCAGGAAAACCACUCAAGAAACUAACCAUGCAUGUUGUCGGUGUCAUGAGAACAAGACUUCUAAUACAAAGUUAUACUCUGCUUCACUUGGAUUCCAACGUCACAUGCCCAAAAUACUUAAUAACAUACUCUGAUGCCUCUAGCAUACAGGAGGCUGGGAGUAAACUUUUUCUCAACUUCACAGAUACAUCUACCCUCCAGUCAUUUAUUCUACAAUCAUGGGAAAAGACCAGAAAACCAUUAAUGACUACCUUUAUGCAUCAUCAAAUAAAAAGAACUAACUGCUAUUAGCCAAUCAGUUGGAGGUUUUUUUGCUAACAAGUUGUGAGUUGCAAAAUUACAUUUAUGUUGUCUUUUUUCCCUGGAGGGUGUAAAAGGCUCUCAUACAUUCUGAUAAGCCCACUCAAAUGCUAAUUGAUUGCUAACUUUGUUGAAAGAUUAGGUGACACACCUUAAUACAAACAAACCAUAUUUUUUAUCUUAUCAAGAUGCAUUUCUUCAUUUUGAAGUGUGAGUCUAAAGGGAAACAUGUUUUUUAUUAUUUAUAUAAUAUAUCAACUCUCACAACUAUUUUUUGGUUUUGGAGAGACCGAAGUAUUUGUGUUUCAUGGCAAUUCAUGCCCACCCAGAGAAUUCAUAGGCAUUAUUUCUGUGACACAAAUUUUAUACUGUUAAUUAAUUACUUUGAUCAUUAUAAAUGGAUGGAGAGAUGUGCAAUACUGUUUGAGGAAAUCACUUGGCUCAAAAAAGGGCUUUUAAAAGAAAUGGAACAGAACUGUACUAAAUGAGCUGGUAGAGAGUGUGAAGAAGUUGUUAAGAUCCUCAUUAAUAAGAUCCUAUAAGGUCAGAGAUCCAAUGAACUUCUAAUUUUCACCUUUUUCACAAGAACAUGACUUGAGCUCAUCAGUAUCAAGCAAUGGCUAAAAUCACGUACAAUUUAGGCACAAGAGAGGCUAACAGUCCCAGAAACAAAGUUAUUACUCAACCUCAUGUUAAAAAACUCACACAAAUCAACAAGAAGAAUAAUGAAAAAA